AUUGAACGCUGGCGGCACGCUUAACACAUGCAAGUCGAACGGUAACAGGAGCUAGCUUGCUAGCUCGCUGACGAGUGGCGGACGGGUGAGUAAUGCGUAGGAAUCUGCCUUAAGGUGAGGAAUAACCCGGGGAAACUCGGGCUAAUGCCACUAAAGCUCUACGGAGAAAAGCUGGGGACCGCAAGGCCUAGCGCCUUAAGAUGAGCCUACGCCGGAUUAGCUAGUUGGUAGGGUAAAGGCCUACCAAGGCAACGAUCCGUAGCUGGUCUGAGAGGAUGAUCAGCCACACUGGGACUGAGACACGGCCCAGACUCCUACGGGAGGCAGCAGUGGGGAAUAUUAGACAAUGGGCGCAAGCCUGAUCCAGCGAUGCCGCGUGUGUGAAGAAGGCCUGCGGGUUGUAAAGCACUUUCGUUGGGAAAGAAAGGGCAGUCAUUAGUACUGACUGCAGUUGACGUUACCCAAAUAAGAAGCACCGGCUAACUCUGUGCCAGCAGCCGCCGUAA
rnacentral:rRNA from 1 species